GUGCAGCUGUUCUGGGACAUCAACAGCACAGAGAGGGACUGGAGAGCAGGAGAGAAGAGGGAGGGGGCUGCUUCAUCCUAGAGAGAUCCUACAGCCUGGUGAUGAAGGAGAUGAAUAGGCAAAGUCUUUGAAGAAAUGGAAUUUGGGAAACUUCAGGGCAGAGCUCCCAGGAUAACCCUGAUUCUUAUGAGCACAUUCACCCACGGAACACUCCUCUUGACAUCCCAUCAUGGAGAACCAGCACACUCCAUUCCUGUAUGCUACAAAUUUCCUACAAAGAGUUUGUUCAGCUGUUAUCUCCGGUUUCCACAAAAGCUUGAAAGGACACUGUUGAAAGCUUAUCUGUUCUUUACACAGCCCAGUUGCCCGGCCUGCUCAGUUAUUCCUUCCCCUCUCAAAAUAGAGCUCAAGUUGAUAUGAAAAUAGCAUACCUCUCUCAGAGGGGGUGCACAACCAGUAAGGCAUUGAGAAAAACAAGGAAAGCUGACAUGAACUGGCUGUGUAUGUAUUCAAAAGGCUUCAAUAGCAGACUAAUUAAUCCUACUGUUGAUGCUAAUAUAGUUCUUUCAGGAUUCACAACUCAUUGCUCCAAGCAAAUUUACCUUUGAUCUUUAUUUAGCUCAAGAUGGUGACUGAAGUAUUUAUCAAAUGCAUUUAACUGCCCUAUGCUCAUGGACAAACUGGGACAGUGCAUGCAGACAGCCAAACCAUCACACUGGGGAAAAGGGAACUUGAGUAUCUGGCUGUCAGUGGAGGGAGAUGAGCUCUGUGUGGCUUCUGUGUCUCUUGCUCUGUUCUAAAACAGCUGCAAGGAUAUUAAGGUGGAGAGUCCAUUGAACUGAGAAAUGUCCAUUUCUGUCAAAGCCUUUGAAGGCUUCUCCCACUGCCAUGCUCACUUUGCUCUGCUACUUCUGAUUACAAGAUUUUUCCUCCUUCAUUUAUCCCCUCCAAAUAGGAUUAACCCCAUGUGCAAGAUAUGAAAGCUCUCACUUAUCAGGUCUGCUUGAUCCGCCAGCUGUCAAAAAUAAAUGCUCUGUCAUCUGCUUCAAUC